rnacentral:rRNA from 1 species
AUCCUGGCUCAGAGCGAACGUUAGCGGCGCGCCUAACACAUGCAAGUCGCACGAGAAAGGGGCAACCCCCGGUACAGUGGCGCACGGGUGAGUAACACGUGGAUUACCUUCCCUGGAGUGGUGGAUAACCUGCCGAAAGGUGGGCUAAUACAGCAUGAGACCACGCACUUUCGAGUGUGAGGUCAAAGCGGGCUUCUGUUUACAUGCUCGCGCUCUAGGAUGGGUCCGCGGCCCAUCAGCUAGUUGGUAGGGUAACGGCCUACCAAGGCAACGACGGGUAGCUGGUCUGAGAGGAUGACCAGCCACACUGGAACUGAGACACGGUCCAGACUCCUACGGGAGGCAGCAGUGGGGAAUCUUGCGCAAUGGGCGAAAGCCUGACGCAGCGACGCCGCGUGGGUGACGAAGGCCUCGGUGUAAG